UAUACCAUGGGGACAUCACGUUCCCUGCUCUCAGUUUCCCCAUCUCUAAAAUCUGGGCAAUGAAUUAGGUGGUCUCUAGGAUCUGCUUCUGACCUGACAGUCGUUGCUUCUAAGACAACAGCAGAAAGUGCCUACAAUUCACGCAGGAGAGCUACGCAGCAGCGCUUCCCACACUCUGCAGCAGAGGACCUCCACUUCCAUAAAACACAACAAAGACGAAGCACUAGGAGAAGGAAGUGCCGCACAGUGCCACCUGCGGUGAUGGCCUCUACACACUGGCUCUGGUUCCUGGAUGGUUCUCAUCCCCGACCAUGGCACACCAUUCAUGGACUGUGCAGACCAUGUGGAAUAACACCGCCCACAGUUAGAGUAGUUCCAAGCACAGACCUCAUUUAUUCUCCAGCUCCGUCACUUUCUAAAUGUGGGAGCCCCCGGGGCAAGCUGACCAAUCUCUGUGCUUCUGUCCCAUCACCCCUCUUCUGAAAUGGGGAUACUGAUGGUAUCCACCUCCUAAGGUUGUUGCGAGGAUGAAGUUAUUUCACAUAUAAAGUGCUGAGAGUAGUGCCUGCUUCACAGAA
rnacentral:sRNA from 1 species